CUUGUUUCGAAGUUAUUUCUCGUCUCUGGCUAGUUGAGACCGAUGGUAAUAUAGGUCGAUCGGCUGGAGCUGCCGAUGGGAUAAUGUCAGCUGAAAAAAUUAACAGGAAUAAUUAUAAGUUGGAAAGAUAAGUCCAUCGGCAAUGAUUUCAUGAUAGUACUUUACCUUGAGGGAGUGCAGUGAUUGUCUAAAUUGAGGAAACUACCAAUGAUACAAUUGAACCUAC
rnacentral:lncRNA from 1 species